UACAGAGGUCUCAAGCGUUGUUCGGAUUCAUUGGGCGUAAAGGGUGCGUAGGUGGUGACGCAAGUCUGGUGUGAAAUCUCGGAGCUUAACUCCGAAACUGCAUUUGAUACUGCGGUGCUUGAGGACUGGAGAGGAGACUGGAAUUCACGGUGUAGCAGUGAAAUGCGUAGAUAUCGUGAGGAAGACCAGUGGCGAAGGCGGGUCUCUGGACAGUUCCUGACACUGAGGCACGAAGGCCAGGGGAGCAAACGGG
rnacentral:rRNA from 1 species